rnacentral:rRNA from 1 species
UCGAGAAUCUUCGGCAAUGGGCGCAAGCCUGACCGAGCGACGCCGCGUGGAGGAAGAAGGCCCUCGGGUUGUAAACUCCUGUUGGGGGGGACCGAAUUCAAUGAGAGAACCCCUGAGGAAGCACGGGCUAAGUUCGUGCCAGCAGCCGCGGUAAGACGAACCGUGCGAACGUUAUUCGGAAUCACUGGGCUUAAAGCGCGCGUAGGCGGCGUCGCAAGUCGGGGGGUGAAAUCCCAUCGGCUCAACCGUGGAAUUGCCUUCGAUACUGCGAUGCUCGAGGGAGGUAGGGGCAGGUGGAACUUCCAGUGGAGCGGUGAAAUGUGUUGAGAUUGGAAGGAACGCCGGUGGCGAAAGCGGCCUGCUGGAUCUCUUCUGACGCUGAGGCGCGAAAGCUAGGGUAGCGAACGGGAUUAGAUACCCCGGUAGUCCUAGCCUUAAGCGAUGGGUACUGAGUAGGAAGCGUUCCGAUAACGCCUCCUGCUGGAGCGAAAGUGUUAAGUACCCCGCCUGGGGAG